GGAAGUAAAAGUCGUAACAAGGUUUCCGUAGGUGAACCUGCGGAAGGAUCAUUAAUAAAUUUUUUAGGUUGAAAUACGAACCUAAAAAUAUAUAAUCCUACCUUGUGAAUUUGUUGUUUGAAAUAAUUUUUAAAAAAUUAUUUAUAGUUUUGUCUAUCCCUGAGUUGUAAGAGAAGUAAUUCUUGAAGACUUAGGGAAUAGGCUUUAUCUAUAAUAAUGAUUUAAAGACUUUUUUAAAUUAAACUUUUGUAUUCAUUUUCUAAAAUUUAUUUUAAUAAUUUAAAAACAACUUUGACAAUGGAUCUCUUGGUUCUCGCACGAUGAAGAACGCAGCAAAAUGCGAUAAGUAAUGUGAAUUGCAGAUACGUGAAUCAUCAAAUCUUCGAACGCAUAUUGCACUUUUUAGUUUACUAAAAAGUAUGUCUGUUUGAGUAUCAGUAAAAUAUCUCAUAAAAAUUAUUUUUUUAUGGUUUUGAGUGUUUACAACGAUACAAGUUGUUUCACUUUAAUUGACUUUAAAUUGCCUAUUAAUUUAGUCAUUUUAAAAUUGCAUAAAAUUUCCCGUAAAAGGAAUAACUAUCAAUUUUAAAAUUAACUGAUAUUAAAGGCCUUGAUAAAAGGAAAUUUAAUUAAAUAACUUGAUCUCAAUCAGAUAAGAGACCGCUGAACUUAAGCAAUCAAUAAGCGGAGGAAAAGAAACUAACAAGGAUUCCCUAGUAACGGCGAGUGAAGCGGGAAGAGCUCAAAUUUGAAAUCUUCAAGUUUGACCUUGACGAUAGUAGUUUAAAGAAGUGUUUUCGGUUAGAGGAGUGUAAAGUUCUUGAAUAGGACAUCAUAGAGGUGAGAAUCCCGUAUUUGACCAUUCUUUCUAGCUUGUGAUACACUUCAAAGAGUCGGAUUGUUUGGGAAUGCAGUCCAAAUGGUGUAAAUUUCAUCUAAAGCUAAAUAUUGGCGAGAGACCGAUAGCGAACAAGUACCGCGAGGAAAGAUGAAAAGAACUUUGAAAGAGAGUUAAACAGUACGUGAAAUUGUCAAAAGGAAGCGUUGACACCAGUGUUGUUUUCCGAAAUCAAUUAAAAUAAUUCAUGCCGGUUGUAUUGACCUUAUCAGCUUGCAAUUUGGUUUGGGUUUCUUUUUGAUGCACUUUCGGUUAACAAGUCAACAUCAAUUUCCUUUGCUGUAAAAGGCAGGAGGAAGUGGCUUCAAUUUCGGUUGAAGUGUUUAUAGCCUUCUGUCUCUGCAGUCGGGAGAUUGAGGUCUGCAGCGUAGAUCCUUCGGGUUAGAUACAUUCGUGCUAAGUUAUAGCCUUUAUAGACAACUUGUUGACUAUGAUCGUCAUGUAAUUUACUCGCGAGUGCUAUUUUACUACGCUAGGAUGUGAA
rnacentral:misc_RNA from 1 species